UACGGAGGUGGCAAGCGUUGCUCGGAAUCACUGGGCGUAAAGGGCGCGUAGGCGGGGAGGUAAGUCGGGUGUGAAAUCCCUCGGCCCAACCGAGGAACUGCGCCCGAGACUGCUUCUCUUGAGUCCCGGAGAGGAAGAUGGAAUUCCCGGUGUAGCGGUGAAAUGUGUAGAGAUCGGGAGGAACACCGGUGGCGAAGGCGGUCUUCUGGACGGUGACUGACGCUGAGGCGCGAAAGUGUGGGGAUCAAACAGG
rnacentral:rRNA from 1 species